rnacentral:lncRNA from 1 species
GUGGGGCCUGGCUUCACUGAGGCCCCCAACUUGGAGGGGAAUCAGCUGGUGCUCCCGCCCCAGGGGACCCCGACGACUGCAAGGGGCCCGCAGCCCAGACGGGAGUGGGCACGGCAGUGUCCAGAGGGCACAGCGCUGACUGGGAGGCUUAGCUGGACCCAAGGCCACAUCUGCUGGGCGGCUCCUGGGGCUUCGAGAUCCACCUGUGCAUACAGGAGGCGCUUAAUAUGGCCUUUCUCUUCCCGGACGUGGCCCGGAGGAACCGUGCUCCCCUCAGCUGACACGGUGGUGGGCUGUGUGUUCGGAGGCUGUUCCCCGGGGCCUCUCCUGGGGCCCACACGCGGGCCUGGGGCCUCACCGACGGACUUUCACGGCAGAGGCGACCCUCAGACCGAGGCCUGGCUGCGUGGAGGGUCCGGGGUGUUGAGGGGAGCUCAGGGUGGGGAGUGGGUGGCGUGGCUGCAGGAGGAAGGGCGAGGUGGCCCAGCAGGGGCUCCUGUCUGCCGGACCCCGAGCCCACCGGGAGCCUCCAGCCCGGCCUCCUCCCUCUGCUGCCGCCGGAGGCUCCGCCGCCCCGGCCUCCCCUCCACCCGGGGCAGACGUGGGGCAGCCCUGACCGCCCCUCGCCUGGAGCCCCGCCCUCCACAAGCCUGGCUCCUCAGAGGCUCCCUGAGCCCCCGGCUGCCCACCACCCUGGCCCAUUUGGGGCUCUGGAGGUCACCCUGGUUUAGGUGCUUUGUCUCCUCGCCCUUCCUGGGCCUGAGCUUUCUCACCCGGGGAGGGGCUCGCGAUGCUGCUGGGCGGCCCCGGCCCCCGGAGAGAGCCGGCCUGAGCCCCGGGCUGGCACCAAACUGCUGCAGGGAGGGGGGCUGCCGCCCGGGGCUGGAGAGCUGCGUGGGCUCAGGGGGGCAGAGCGCCCACAGGUGGGCGGCCCCUCCUGCCCUGCUUGGACCUGAGGGAGCCAGGGAGGGACAGGGCAGGGGUCAAGGCCUGGGGGUUCCUGGGGCAUCUCAGGGCCGGCGGCCCCACCUCCCGAGCCCAGAGGGCGCUCAGCCUGGGGAGCCCCGGGCCCCCUGGAGUGUCAGAGAGAGGGUCUCCCUCUGGGGACCCCCUCCCAGCACAGCCCGUGGGCAGGAGUGGGGGACGAGCACGCACACGAGGCCCCCGUGGCUGUAA